rnacentral:rRNA from 1 species
AAACGGGGUCUAAUACCGGAUAACACUCUUGCGGGCAUCUGUGAGGGUUAAAAGCUCCGGCGGUGAAGGAUGAGCCCGCGGCCUAUCAGCUUGUUGGUGAGGUAAUGGCUCACCAAGGCGACGACGGGUAGCCGGCCUGAGAGGGCGACCGGCCACACUGGGACUGAGACACGGCCCAGACUCCUACGGGAGGCAGCAGUGGGGAAUAUUGCACAAUGGGCGAAAGCCUGAUGCAGCGACGCCGCGUGAGGGAUGACGGCCUUCGGGUUGUAAACCUCUUUCAGCAGGGAAGAAGCGAAAGUGACGGUACCUGCAGAAGAAGCGCCGGCUAACUACGUGCCAGCAGCCGCGGUAAUACGUAGGGCGCAAGCGUUGUCCGGAAUUAUUGGGCGUAAAGAGCUCGUAGGCGGCUUGUCACGUCGAUUGUGAAAGCCCGAGGCUUAACCUCGGGUCUGCAGUCGAUACGGGCUAGCUAGAGUGUGGUAGGGGAGAUCGGAAUUCCUGGUGUAGCGGUGAAAUGCGCA